AACGCGGUGGCCUAAUGGUUAGCGUGUUGGACUCCGGAUUGAGCAGUCCGGGUUCGAGCGCUGGCCGUGCUCA